AUUGAACGCUGGCGGCAUGCCUUACACAUGCAAGUCGAACGGUAACAGGUCUUCGGAUGCUGACGAGUGGCGAACGGGUGAGUAAUACAUCGGAACGUGCCUAGUAGUGUGGGAUAACUACUCGAAAGAGUGGCUAAUACCGCAUGAGAUCUACGGAUGAAAGCAGGGGAUCGCAAGACCUUGUGCUACUAGAGCGGCCGAUGGCAGAUUAGGUAGUUGGUGGGAUAAAAGCUUACCAAGCCGACGAUCUGUAGCUGGUCUGAGAGGACGAUCAGCCACACUGGGACUGAGACACGGCCCAGACUCCUACGGGAGGCUGCAGUGGGGAAUUUUGGACAAUGGGCGCAAGCCUGAUCCAGCAAUGCCGCGUGCAGGAUGAAGGCCUUCGGGUUGUAAACUGCUUUUGUACGGAACGAAAAGCCCUGGAUUAAUACCCUGGGGUCAUGACGGUACCGUAAGAAUAAGCACCGGCUAACUACGUGCCAGCCGCCGCAGUAAUAC
rnacentral:rRNA from 1 species